GAUGAACGCUGGCGGCGUGCUUAACACAUGCAAGUCGAACGAUGAAGCCCAGCUUGCUGGGUGGAUUAGUGGCGAACGGGUGAGUAACACGUGAGUAACCUGCCCUUAACUCUGGGAUAAGCCUGGGAAACUGGGUCUAAUACCGGAUAGGAGCGCCUACCGCAUGGUGGGCGUUGGAAAGAUUUAUCGGUUUUGGAUGGACUCGCGGCCUAUCAGCUUGUUGGUGAGGUAAUGGCUCACCAAGGCGACGACGGGUAGCCGGCCUGAGAGGGUGACCGGCCACACUGGGACUGAGACACGGCCCAGACUCCUACGGGAGGCAGCAGUGGGGAAUAUUGCACAAUGGGCGCAAGCCUGAUGCAGCGACGCCGCGUGAGGGAUGACGGCCUUCGGGUUGUAAACCUCUUUCAGUAGGGAAGAAGCGAAAGUGACGGUACCUGCAGAAGAAGCACCGGCUAACUACGUG
rnacentral:rRNA from 1 species